GGGAUGAAUAUUCUAAGGCGCUUGAGAGAACUCAGGAGAAGGAACUCGGCAAAUUGAUACCGUAACUUCGGGAGAAGGUAUGCCCUUCUGCGUGUUAAAGCGCGGGAGGGCCGCAGUGAAACGGUGGCUGCGACUGUUUAUUAAAAACACAGCACUCUGCAAACACGAAAGUGGACGUAUAGGGUGUGACGCCUGCCCGGUGCUGGAAGGUUAAGUGAUGGGGUGCAAGCUCUUGAUCGAAGCCCCAGUAAACGGCGGCCGUAACUAUAACGGUCCUAAGGUAGCGAAAUUCCUUGUCGGGUAAGUUCCGACCUGCACGAAUGGCGUAACGAUGGCCACACUGUCUCCUCCUGAGACUCAGCGAAGUUGACAUGGUUGUGACGAUGCAAUCUCCCCGCGGCUAGACGGAAAGACCCCAUGAACCUUUACUAUAGCUUCACAUUGAAUCGUGAGCCGGCCUGUGUAGGAUAGGUGGGAGGCGCUGAAAGCGGGACGCUAGUUUCGCUGGAGCCGACCUUGAAAUACCACCCUGGUCUGUUUAUGGUUCUAACCUUGGCCCGUUAUCCGGGUUGGGGACAGUGUGUGGUGGGUAGUUUGACUGGGGCGGUCUCCUCCUAAAUUGUAACGGAGGAGUUCGAAGGUACGCUAGGCACGGUCGGAAAUCGUGCUAAUAGUGCAUUGGCAAAAGCGUGCUUGACUGUGAGACUGACACGUCGAACAGGUGCGAAAGCAGGACAAAGUGAUCCGGUGGUUCUGAAUGGAAGGGCCAUCGCUCAACGGAUAAAAGGUACUCUGGGGAUAACAGGCUGAUACCGCCCAAGAGUUCAUAUCGACGGCGGUGUUUGGCACCUCGAUGUCGGCUCAUCUCAUCCUGGGGCUGUAGCCGGUCCCAAGGGUAUGGCUGUUCGCCAUUUAAAGAGGUACGUGAGCUGGGUUUAAAACGUCGUGAGACAGUUUGGUCCCUAUCUGCCGUGGGCGUUGGAUACUUGACGGAGGCUGCUCCUAGUACGAGAGGACCGGAGUGGACGUACCGCUGGUGUACGGGUUGUCAUGCCAAUGGCAUUGCCCGGUAGCUAUGUACGGAAGAGAUAACCGCUGAAGGCAUCUAAGCGGGAAACUCGUCUGAAGAUUAGGUAUCCCGGGGCCUAGAGCCCCCUGAAGGGUCGUUCGAGACCAGGACGUUGAUAGGCUGGGUGUGGAAGUGCAGUAAUGCAUGUAGCUAACCAGUACUAAUUGCCCGUGCGGCUUGAUCCU
rnacentral:rRNA from 1 species